AUUUGAUUAUUAACUGACAAGUUGGACUCUUAUUUAUAAACAUGAUAAUUUAUUGAUAAUGCGACAGCUUAAUCGUUGACAUACUCCUACGAACGAGAAAAAAUAUAUCUUGCUUCAAUUCAUCAGGACAAAUCAAAAUAUAGUUGUAGGGACAAAUAUUGUUUGAUACAAUGGGAUAGAAAUAUAAUAUGAGGUAUUAUAUUGGUUAAAAUGGAAUUAUAGCCAUCAUCUGAACUUAAAUAUAUACAGACGGUGACUGGCGAGUAAUUAUGGACUUAUUGUACAUUAAUACAGCAUUUAGCGAGGUGUAAAUGUAUAAGAUUAUAAUAUUUGUUAUGUUGAAAUAUCACUAUAACCUUCAGUAAAAACGAAUCAUCAACAACAUGGUCGGUAAAAACGGCGACUAAUAAUUUCACCGACAUCAAAUACCACAACAACCUUCACUGGGCGUCAAAUCUACUAAAGUGACCUUUUCAUACUGGACUGCAUAAAGGGUCUACUUGUUUUGGGAGAAGAUGUGCAGCCAAUGUACAGUCAAGGCCAAGACUUCUGGAAGGAAAUCCAUCAUCGUUCGAUAACAGAUUCAACAGUUACAGUACUGAACCAAAUGCAACUCAAGUUAGACCAACUACAAACAACAUUCAGCCACUACCCCCGACUACAGAUAAUUAACAAAAACAACUUUGACUUGGGUGAGGCGUUAAAAAUCACAAUUUUCGCCCUGGUGAUGGCGUUAAACUCACCAUAUACUCGCCACCCUCGAGAAUAAGUUUAAAAAUUACAGCUAAAGACACAUGUUGUCCAACAUUAAACUGAAAAAAGCAGAUGAAGAAACAUAGAUGUCGAGUAAAGAGUGUUAUUAUUACUCUUGGAUAGUGGAUUUGUAUUGGAUAUGUAGAGUGGUUCUACUAUAUGAGUAUAAUAUGCCCACUUUGAAUGAUCGACCUUUCAACUAUCUAUGUAUCUAAUAUUAAACAUUAAUCAGAAUAAUUUAUAAAAUUAAUAAGAAAUAAUAAGUCAUGAUGGAUUUUGCUAAAGGAAACACCAAAUUUCGUUCAGACUAUAAUUCCAAAAUAAUGUCUCUUUUUUGGAAACAUUAAAUCUAAAAUGCCUCCCUCAAACAUGCUAUUUUUUUACUAAGCUGUAGUUGAUGACAAAUGUUGUACAGCUGCUAGUCCAUGUAAAAUAAUUGAAAUAUCAUGGACAUCGUAAAAUGUGUGUAUUAGUUGAAACAUAUAGUAGAUGGGAAGAAAAUAUGAACUGUACAUUAACAAAAACUGGAUUCUUCCAACAAUUGAGCACUCAACAAAUCAAGCCCUCAAAACACGGAUAAUUGAGAGCGGAGAAAAUUAAAAAAACAUCAACAAAACCUUCAGUCAUUACGGACCGUCAAAACAGUGACUAUGGUUCGUCAUCUGUAAUUUCAUCGACAUCAACCACCACAACCACCUGCUCUGAGCUUCAAAUUUUCUACACUGGCCUUUCCAUAUUAGACCGCAUAGAAAGAGUCUACUUGGUUUGAGAGAAGUUGUGCAGCCAAUGUACAUUCAACGCCAGACUUCAGGAGAGAAAUCCAUCAUCGUUCAAUUAAUGAAUUAACAGUUACAGCAUUGGACCAACUACAACUCAAGUUAGACCAAUCACAAACAAUAUUCAACCACUACCACCGACUAGAGAUCAUUAACAAAAACAACGUUGACUUGAGUGAGGUGUUAAAAAUCACAAUUUUCGCCCUGGUGAUGGCGUUAAACUCA